GUUCUCUAAACAGAUUAGGGUUAGGUUUAUGGUUAGGGUAAGGGCUAGGUUUAAACCUAGUGUUAGGGUUAGAGUCAGUUGUGUUCAUGUAUCUUUGAUACUGGGCAGGAUUCAUCUUUUACCUAGCCUCACAAUGUUCCCUGGUUUGGGCCUUCUCAGUUCAAUGGAUUCCUGUGAGGAACAGUUUGUAUUUUAAGGUUUCAUUUUAUUUUGAACUAUUUUGUUUAAGAGAAGUGGAGCACAAAAUCAAACAGGGUUGGUGCUAGCUGCUUGAAACUGCACACACUCAAUCAGUUCUCUGUGGGCACUCUCUGGUUUGUUCCUUGUGAAUGUUGCCCUCAGCUGAAACAUGCAAAGCAACUUUAUCCCAGAGCACUUUUGGAGAAAUCAAGGAAAUAUGAAUGUACUGAAACACUUCCCCCAAUUAUUUGCUCAGAUUUCUUUGAUACUGUGCAGGAUUCAUCUGUUAGCUUCCCACACUAGGCUCCCUUAGUUUGGACUUCUAUGAUCAAAGGUUCUCUAAACAGGCUAGGGUGAGCUGUAGGGUUAGGAUUAAGGAUAGA
rnacentral:lncRNA from 1 species